UGAAGAGGGAAAAGCUCAAAUUUAAAAUCUGGCAGCAUUUUGUUGUCCGAGUUGUAACCUAGAGAAGUGUAACCUGUGCUGGACCGUGUAUAAGUUUCCUGGAAUGGAGCAUCACAGAGGGUGAGAAUCCCGUCUUUGACAUGGACUACCAGUGCAUUGUGGUUGUGCUCUCAACGAGUCGAGUUGUUUGGGAAUGCAGCUCUAAAUGGGUGGUAAAUUCCAUCUAAAGCUAAAUAUUGGCGAGAGACCGAUAGCGAACAAGUACCGUGAGGGAAAGAUGAAAAGAACUUUGGAAAGAGAGUUAAACAGUAUGUGAAAUUGUUGAAAGGGAAACGUUUGAAGUCAGUCGCGUUAGCUGGGGAUCAGCCUGACAUUGUUGGGUGCACUUCCUGGUUGACGGGCCAACAUCAGUUUUGACUGCCAGAAAAAGGCCAAGGGAAUGUGGCACCUUUGGGUGUGUUAUAGCCUUUGGUCAUAUAUGGUGGUUGGGACUGAGGAAUGCAGUGUGCCGAAAGGCCGGGUUUCGACCACGUUCACACUGAGGAUGUUGGCAUAAUGGCUUUAAGCGACCCGUCUUGAAACACGGACCAAGGAGUCUAACAUGCAUGCGAGUGUUUGGGUGGAAAACCCUUACGCGUAAUGAAAGUGAAAGUUGAGAUCCCUGUCAUGGGGAGCAUCGACGCCCGGACCAGAACUUUUGGGACGGAUCUGCGGUAGAGCACGUAUGUUGGGACCCGAAAGAUGGUGAACUAUGCCUGAAUAGGGUGAAGCCAGAGGAAACUCUGGUGGAGGCUCGUAGCGAUUCUGAC
rnacentral:rRNA from 1 species